UACGGAGGGGGCUAGCGUUGUUCGGAAUUACUGGGCGUAAAGCGCACGUAGGCGGCUUUGUAAGUUAGAGGUGAAAGCCCGGGGCUCAACUCCGGAAUUGCCUUUAAGACUGCAUCGCUAGAAUUGUGGAGAGGUAAGUGGAAUUCCGAGUGUAGAGGUGAAAUUCGUAGAUAUUCGGAAGAACACCAGUGGCGAAGGCGGCUCA
rnacentral:rRNA from 1 species